rnacentral:rRNA from 1 species
AGCGAACGCUGGCGGCAGGCCUAACACAUGCAAGUCGAACGAACUCUUCGGAGUUAGUGGCGGACGGGUGAGUAACACGUGGGAACGUGCCUUUUGGUUCGGAAUAACUCAGGGAAACUUGUGCUAAUACCGAAUGUGCCCUUCGGGGGAAAGAUUUAUCGCCAUUAGAGCGGCCCGCGUCUGAUUAGCUAGUUGGUGAGGUAACGGCUCACCAAGGCGACGAUCAGUAGCUGGUCUGAUAGGAUGACCAGCCACACUGGGACUGAGACACGGCCCAGACUCCGACGGGAGGCAGCAGUGGGGAAUCUUGCGCAAUGGGCGAAAGCCUGACGCAGCCAUGCCGCGUGAAUGAUGAAGGUCUUAAGAUUGUAAAAUUCUUUCACCGGGGACGAUAAUGACGGUACCCGGAGAAGAAGCCCCGGCUAACUUCG